AGCGAACGCUGGCGGCAGGCCUAACACAUGCAAGUCGAACGAACCUUUCGGGGUUAGUGGCGGACGGGUGAGUAACACGUGGGAACGUGCCUUUAGGUUCGGAAUAACUCAGGGAAACUUGUGCUAAUACCGAAUGUGCCCUUCGGGGGAAAGAUUAAUCGCCUUUAGAGCGGCCCGCGUCUGAUUAGCUAGUUGGUUGAGGUAAUGGCUCACCAAGGCGACGAUCAGUAGCUGGUCUGAGAGGAUGAUCAGCCACAUUGGGACUGAGACACGGCCCAAACUCCUACGGGAGGCAGCAGUGGGGAAUCUUGCGCAAUGGGCGAAAGCCUGACGCAGCCAGGCCGCGUGAAUGAUGAAGGUCUUAGGAUUGUAAAAUUCUUUCACCGGGGACGAUAAUGACGGGACCCGGAGAAGAAGCCCCGGCUAACUUCGG
rnacentral:rRNA from 1 species